GCUGUGAUGGCCGAGAGGUUAAGGCGUUGGACUCGAAAUCCAAUGGGGUUUCCCCGCGCAGGUUCGAAUCCUGAUCACAGCG
rnacentral:tRNA from 1 species